rnacentral:rRNA from 1 species
CAGCAGCCGCGGGAAUACGUAGGUGGCAAGCGUUGUCCGGAAUUAUUGGGCGUAAAGGGCUCGCAGGCGGUUUCUUAAGUCUGAUGUGAAAGCCCCCGGCUCAGCCGGGGAGGGUCAUUGGAAACUGGGAAACUUGAGUGCAGAAGAGGAGAGUGGAAUUCCACGUGUAGCGGUGAAAUGCGUAGAGAUGUGGAGGAACACCAGUGGCGAAGGCGACUCUCUGGUCUGUAACUGACGCUGAGGAGCGAAAGCGUGGGGAGCGAACAGGAUUAGAUACCCCCGUAGUCCCUGUCUCUUAUAC